CAGAAUUCUGAAAGAAAUUUCUCUGUGGGCACCAAACCUUUUCUCCACAGACCUUCUGUUCAGCUGUAAAUUCUUUUUGAAUCGGGUACAUGUGAAGUGAUAAGAGAGAACAGAAGGUAUUGGACACUGGAAUCAGUAAUUUGAAAUUCUCCUGAACAAGUUCAAUCUAGACAAAAAAAGGAAAUUGCAGCCAUUCAAAGAUAAAAGAGAUGAUCGAAAGAAAUCACAUCCUACAUCAAUCAAGUUGACCAGUGCUCAGAGUCUGGCUACAUGGCACCUUUACCACCCAGACUGCUAACCUACAUAGCCUGUGGUCCAUUGAAGAAUCUGUCUUCAUUUACCAAUGCCAUAUUUUACCUUUGUACAGAAUCUGCAUACUUUCAAUUUCACUUUUUUUUUCCCCAGUAGCCUCAACCACACAGAAGAAUGUGACUAUAUAGAGAAAUGAACUGAAAAGAACUUCCAAUUUUCUUAUGGAGGUGUUUCCUGAAAAGACAGUGUGGUAGGUU